rnacentral:rRNA from 1 species
UACGAACCGUGCGAACGUUGUUCGGAAUCACUGGGCUUAAAGGGCGCGUAGGCGGGUCUCAAAGUCCGGGGUGAAAUCCUCCAGCUCAACUGGAGAAGGGCCUUGGAAACUAGAGGUCUCGAGGGAGGUAGGGGUCCGUGGAACUUCGGGUGGAGCGGUGAAAUGCGUUGAUAUCCGAAGGAACGCCGGUGGCGAAAGCGACGGACUGGAUCUCUUCUGACGCUGAGGCGCGAAAGCCAGGGGAGCAAACGGG